rnacentral:ncRNA from 1 species
CUUUAAAUCAGCAAAUGAUUUAAGGCGGAAGGAG